GACGAACGCUGGCGGCGUGCUUAACACAUGCAAGUCGAACGGUAAGGCCCUUCGGGGUACACGAGUGGCGAACGGGUGAGUAACACGUGGGUGAUCUGCCCUGCACUUCGGGAUAAGCCUGGGAAACUGGGUCUAAUACCGGAUAGGACUCCGGACUGCAUGGUCUGGGGUGGAAAGCUUUUGCGGUGUGGGAUGGGCCCGCGGCCUAUCAGCUUGGUGGGGGGGUGAUGGCCUACCAAGGCGACGACGGGUAGCCGGCCUGAGAGGGUGACCGGCCGCACGGGGACUGAGAUACGGCCCAGAGUCCUACGGGAGGCAGCAGUGGGGAAUAUUGCACAAUGGGCGCAAGCCUGAUGCAGCGACGCCGCGUGAGGGAUGACGGCCUUCGGGUUGUAAACCUCUUUCAGCAUCGACGAAGCGAAAGUGACGGUAGGUGCAGAAGAAGGACCGGCCAACUACGUGCCAGCCGCCGCCGUAA
rnacentral:rRNA from 1 species